rnacentral:rRNA from 1 species
GUUCCUUGGAAAAGGACAGCUGAGAGGGUGAAACUCCCGUCCGCCUGGUAGAAUGAGUCUUUGUCAACGAGUCGAGUUGUUUGGGAUUGCAGCUCUAAUUUGGUGGUAAAUUCCAUCUAAAGCUAAAUAUUGGUGGGAGACCGAUAGCGUACAAGUACCGUGAGGGAAAGAUGCAAAGAACUUUGAAAAGAGAGUUAAAGAGUACCUGAAAUUGCUGAAACGGAAGCGAAGGAAACCAGUGUUUGUUGGUUCAUAUUUCCCUGGCCACUUGUGGUUUGGGCGCUGUGAGCUUGCGUGGGUUUGGGUUGGUUGAUCCCUUUGGAAGAGCGCAGUCAGAGUUGAUGUCU